rnacentral:rRNA from 1 species
UACGUAGGGGGCAAGCGUUGUCCGGAAUCAUUGGGCGUAAAGAGCGCGUAGGCGGCCCGGUAAGUCCGCUGUGAAAGUCAAGGGCUCAACCCUUGAAUGCCGGUGGAUACUGUCGGGCUAGAGUCCGGAAGAGGCGAGUGGAAUUCCUGGUGUAGCGGUGAAAUGCGCAGAUAUCAGGAGGAACACCAAUGGCGAAGGCAGCUCGCUGGGACGGUACUGACGCUGAGGCGCGAAAGCGUGGGGAGCAAACGGG